rnacentral:lncRNA from 1 species
GAGCACGUCAUUAAUGUUGUUGUUGGUGGAGAAGCUGCAAAUAUGGAGGAAAGAGAGUUGAGACAGGAAAAAAUGUACUUUUCAUGAACAGAGGGGGGAAAUAGCUUCGCAAAAGUGAUAAAGUGGAAGACGGCCGCUGAACUAAGACAGACCGUGACGCCGCGCGGAACAACAACAAGUAUCAGAGAGGGUGUUCGGCUGGCACAGCUGCCAUCAAAGUCCUCCUCAUGAGGUCUACGGUCAUGGCUGAAGCAGAGGACCCCCUUUAGAGUUGAAAACCUGGAACCUGGUGAACUUGAGGUUGCAGGCUGAGGUUUACCCAGAAGUCUUCUUUCUCUGCUUUGCUUACUACUUGGAGAACUUCAGGCAGGGAAGAUCCCCGGCGGCAUCCAUGAAUUCACCAAACACACCUGGUAAGAGUCUUUAAGUGCUCAUGUUAUGCUGUUCAACCUUGUUGCUUGCUAAUGUAAGAUCUUAUGGUAAUACUUUCAGCUAGGCAUGGGCUAUUAUAAGAUUCUGACGGUAUGAUAACGUUGAAUAAAAAUGUCACAGUUUCGCAAUAUUGUUUUUACUGCUCUAAAAUAUAUUCUUUUUGAGUGUCUGGGUAAAAAAACAAAAACGUUUUUCGUCUUUCAACACAAUAUAUUUUAUUUGAGAAACAUUUAAAAUAUUUUAGAGCAGUAAACAUGUCAGGCUGAAUAAUUCAAAUGAAAUUAUUGACUUCUGCUGUAUUGAAUAGGUUGCAAAACACAGAUUUUAUUACAAUUUAAAACCACAUCUUGGAUAUCUUUUCUGCUGAAGAUACUGUAAAAAGAUACUGUAUAUCUUUUCUGCUGAAAAUACUGUACUAAUGUAAAAAAAA